GAUUGAUUAGCUCAGCCGGUAGAGCACAUGCCUUUUAAGCAUGGGGUCCGGGGUUCGAAUCCCCGAUCAAUCA
rnacentral:tRNA from 1 species